rnacentral:rRNA from 1 species
GGCCUACCAUGGUGGUAACGGGUAACGGGGUGUUAGGGCACGACACCGGAGAGGGAGCCUGAGAAACGGCUACCACAUCCAAGGAUGGCAGCAGGCGCGCAAAUUACCCAAUCCCGACACGGGGAGGUAGUGACAAUAAAUAACAAUACGGGGUUCUAUAGGAUUUCGUAAUUGGAAUGAGUACAAUUUAAAUCUCUUAACGAUCAACAAUUGGAGGGCAAGUCUGGUGCCAGCAGCCGCGGUAAUUCCAGCUCCAAUAGCGUAUAUUAAAGUUGUUGCAGUUAAAAAGCUCGUAGUUGAAUUUCGGGGUUAGUAGGUUGGUCAUGCCUCUGGUAUGUACUGGUCUCACUGAUUCCUCCCUCUUGACGAACUGUAAUGUCAUUAAUUUGGUGUUGCAGGAAAUCAGGACUGUUACUUUGAAAAAAUUAGAGUGUUUAAAGCAGGCUAAGGCUUGAAUACAUUAGCAUGGAAUAAUGAAAUAGGACGUUUGAUCCUAUUUUGUUGGUUUCUAGGAUUGACGUAAUGAUUAAUAGGGAUAGUUGGGGGCAUUAGUAUUCAAUUGUCAGAGGUGAAAUUCUUGGAUUUAUUGAAGACUAACUACUGCGAAAGCAUUUGCCAAGGAUGUUUUCAUUAAUCAAGAACGAAAGUUAGGGGAUCGAAGACGAUCAGAUACCGUCGUAGUCUUAACCAUAAACUAUGCCGACUAGGGAUCGGAUGAUGUUAAUUUUUUAAUGACUCAUUCGGCGCCUUACG